UACGUAGGGGGCAAGCGUUGUCCGGAAUUAUUGGGCGUAAAGCGCGCGUAGGCGGUUACUUAAGUCGGAUGUGAAAGCCCUCGGCUUAACUGAGGAAGUGCACCCGAAACUGAGUAGCUAGAGUACGAAAGAGGGUCGCGGAAUUCCCGGUGUAGAGGUGAAAUUCGUAGAUAUCGGGAGGAACACCGGUGGCGAAGGCGGCGACCUGGGUCGAGACUGACGCUGAGGCGCGAAAGCGUGGGGAGCAAACAGG
rnacentral:rRNA from 1 species